rnacentral:misc_RNA from 1 species
CGCACAUUGCGCCCAUUAGUAUUCUAUUGGGCAUGCCUGUUCGAGCGUCAUUUCAACCCUCAGGUCGUUUUAGACUUGGUGUUGGGGCCUUGCCUUGCAAGCCCUGAAAAACAGUGGCGGGCGUACUGAAUCCCGAGCGUAGUAACUUUUCUCGCUAUGGGCUUUUGGUGCUGCACCGGCCGUAAAACCCCCCUUUUACAGUACAAGGUUGACCUCGGAUCAGGUAGGAAUACCCGCUGAACUUAA